AUAAUAGAUUUUGUAUAAGAUGGAUCCAGGAGUAUAUGGAAAUAUUUUAUUUGUAAAGAACCGAAGAGAUGGCAGGGAGUACACAAUGAAAAGGGUUGAAUUUCUUGAUGAGGGGGAAGCUAACAAAGCAUUAAAAGAGGCUCGUUGCCUUUUGGAGAUGCAACAUCCACAUGUCACCAGUUACAGGGAAAUUUUCAUCAUGUGGGACAGAAAGGUAU